GGUCGUUGGAGCAGGUCAGGCCCUCCUGGGCGGGACUCAUCCCUGAAAUUAAUACAAGUCAGAGCAUCUGUCUGUCCCUGCCAAAGGAGACUGCAGCUAGAAAGAGGAUCUGGACGGACGGCCAUUGGAGACCCAGAAGCAGCGUCUGUCUUCUGGAGAUGGUGUUAGCUCUCACUCACAAUGGUUCCAGAAAAGCCAGGAGCCAAUUGGAGAGUUUGCUCUGAAGGAGCCCUAAUGGCUUCAAGAUCUUUCUGUUCGGAUCUCCAGAUUUCUCCAGAAGUGCCCAGCAGGCCUUGCCCUUUCUCCGGGCCCCACGUCGGUAAAGAGGCUGGUGGGAACAGCUUGCCAGUGUGGAAGGGGCUUCCACAGAACCAUGGCUCUGCACCUUUGGAAUUUUCUUGUUCCCCCCAGGGCAGGUGGCUGGCCUGGCUUAUUUUUUCGGAUGGAAAUAAUAAAGACUCCUUGGCUGAUCUG